rnacentral:rRNA from 1 species
UACGUAGGGGGCAAGCGUUGUCCGGAUUUAUUGGGCGUAAAGAGCGUGUAGGCGGCUAGAUAGGUCCGUUGUGAAACCUGGAGGCUCAACCUCCAGCUGUCGAUGGAAACCAUCUGGCUAGAGUCCGGAAGAGGAGAGUGGAAUUCCUGGUGUAGCGGUGAAAUGCGCAGAUAUCAGGAAGAACACCCGUGGCGAAGGCGGCUCUCUGGGCCGAUAUCGACGCUGAGGAGCGAAAGCGUGGGGAGCGAACAGG